AGUUAAAGGCAGUGGCUGGGCAGGCAAAGUGAAGUGCAAAAUACAGGUGGCUUAAAUCUCUGAGCUCCAAUUUCCCCUUAUCUGUGAAAUGGAAGGAACCCACAUAGAUUGACUUCUCAGUUUGUGGCGAGGAUUACAUGAACUACUAUGCUUAUAAGCAAAAAUAGAGUCUUUGCCGCCGCGCCGGCGAGCGCCGCCCGGGAGGCAGCGGCUGGAGGAGCGGACGGGCCCCGCGGGGCCCGAGGGCAAGGAGCAGCCGCCUGCCUUGGCCUCCCAAAGUGCCGAGAUUGCAGCCUCUGCCCGGCUGCCACCCCGUCUGGGAAGUGAGGAGUGUUUCUGCCUGGCCGCCCAUCGUCUGGGAUGUGAGGAGCCCCUCUGCCUGGCUGCCCAGUCUGGAAAGUGAGGAGCGUCUCCGCCCGGCCGCCAUCCCAUCUAGGAAGUGAGGAGCGCCUCUUCCCAGCCGCCAUCACAUCUAGGAAGUGAGGAGCGUCUCUGCCCGGCCGCCCAUCGUCUGAGAUGUGGGGAGCGCCUCUGCCCCGCUGCCCCAUCUGGGAUGUGAGGAGCGCCUCUGCCCGGCCGAGACCCCGUCUGGGAGGUGAGGAGCGUCUCUGCCCGGCCGCCCCGUCUGAGAAGUGAGGAGACCCUCUGUCUGGCAACCACCCCGUCUGAGAAGUGAGGAGCCCCUCCGCCCGGCAGCUGCCCCGUCUGAGAAGGGAGGAGCCUCUCCGCCCGGCAGCCACCCCAUCUGGGAAGUGAGGAGCGUCUCCGCCCGGCAGCCACCCCGUCCGGCAGGGAGGUGGGGGGGGGGUCAGCCUCCCGCCCGGCCAGCCGCCCCAUCCGGGAGGGAGGUGGGGGGGUCAGCCCCCCGCCUGGCCAGCCGUGCCGUCCGGGAGGGAGGUGGGGGGGUCAGCCCCCCGCCCGGCCAGCCGCCCCGUCCGGGAGGUGAGGGGCGCCUCUGCCCGGCCGCCCCUACUGGGAAGUGAGGAGCCCCUCUGCCCGGCCAGCCGCCCCGCCCGGGAGAGAGGUGGGGGUGUCAGCCCCCCGCCCGGCCAGCCGCCCCGUCCGGGAGGGAGGUGGUGGGGGUCAGCCCCCGCACCCGGCCAGCCGCCCCGUCCGGGAGGUGAGGGGCGCCUCUGCCCGGCCGCCCCUACUGGGAAGUGAGGAGCCCCUCUGCCCGGCCAGCCGCCCCGUCCGGGAGGGAGGUUGGGGGGUCAGCCCCCCGCCCGGCCAGCCGCCCCGUCCGGGAGGGAGGUGGGGGGGGUCAGCCCCCCUGCCCGGCCAGCCGCCCCGUCCGGGAGGUGAGGGGCGCCUCUGCCCGGCCGCCCCUACUGGGAAGUGAGGAGCCCCUCUGCCCGGCCACCACCCCGUCUGGGAGGUGUGCCCAACAGCUCAUUGAGAACGGGCCAGGAUGACAAUGGCGGCUUUGUGGAAUAGAAAGGCGGGAAAGGUGGGGAAAAGAUUGAGAAAUCGGAUGGUUGCCGUGUCUGUGUAGAAAGAAGUAGACAUGGGAGACUUUUCAUUUUGUUCUGCACUAAGAAAAAUUCCUCUGCCUUGGGUUCCUGUUGAUCUGUGACCUUACCCCCAACCCUGUGCUCUCUGAAACAUGUGCUGUGUCCACUCAGGGUUAAAUGGAUUAAGGGCGGUGCAAGAUGUGCUUUGUUAAACAGAUGCUUGAAGGCAGCAUGCUCGUUAAGAGUCAUCACCAAUCCCUAAUCUCAAGUAAUCAGGGACACAAACACUGCGGAAGGCCGCAGGGUCCUCUGCCUAGGAAAACCAGAGACCUUUGUUCACUUGUUUAUCUGCUGACCUUCCCUCCACUAUUGUCCCAUGACCCUGCCAAAUCCCCCUCUGUGAGAAACACCCAAGAAUUAUCAAUAAAAAAAUAAAUUAAAAAAAAAAAUAAAUAAAUAAAUCCAGCAAAAAUAAAAAUAAAAAAUAAAAUCCCCUUGAAUACAUUUGAGGUAAUGUUGUAGUUUUCAGCUCCUCCCACGAGAGAUUUUAUGGAGUGCCUAACUGUGCUACCCGGGUGCUGCUCCUGUCGUUAGUGGUGGCACCCAGGAGGAAUUAAAAUUACAAGAGUGUUUCCUUCCAGAUGUUGUUGCUACAGGCUCAAGGUGCUCUUUUAACUGGGACAUCAGGCUUUCUUGAAAUAGACAAGAAUUCUAGAAACAUGACAUUGUGCCUGAUUCAUCGCUUCAACUUGCCACUGACUCAUUCUCUCCUUGAUAGGUUAUUCAACAGUAACUUUAAUUACAUCAUUUACUUAUUGUUUUCUUCCUUGAUUUAUUCUCUUUCUACAAUUCUUGUUUAUCAUCUCAGUGAUUGGACCAUCUCACCUCUGAGACUUGGGUAGAAUUCUGUGGACUCUGGAAAUAGACAUGGAGGUUUUCAUGUAUCUCUGUUAAUGUGUACAAACACCCCCAGGCUUGUACACUUGAAAUACAUCAGUAGGAAGGGUAGUUCUCAAUUUGCUAGUGUUUCACACAGCUUGUCUUAUUUAAUGAUCUCAGCUGCCCUAUGAAGUAGAUACCAUCCUAUUAAAAAAUGCAGGAGCAGAGGCUCUGAGAGGGGACUGUAACUUACCCAAGAUCAUGUGGUAGAUUGCAAAACUGGUUCCAAAUCCCUACCCUUCCCUGUACGCACACCUUUUGCCAUUCAUCUGCAAUGUCCUUUUCUGAUUCUGGGCUCAGCAAUAUAACUUGCUCUGGCCAACAGGAUAACAACAGCAAAUGUGAUGUAAGCAAAAGCUUGAGAAAUACUUGUGCAACUAAUCAUGUUUGCCUUCUCUCUUGUACCUGUGCCAUUGCCAUGAGAACAUGCCUGGGCUAGGAUUAGAGACACUUGGAGCAGAGCUGAGUCAUCCCAGCUGUCCCAGUUGAGGCCAGCCUAGGUCAGUCGAUGGCAACCAAGCCCUAAGCAUGUUAGUGAGCCCAGCCAUGAUCAGCACAACCACCUAGCCAACCAUCCCAGACCUGUGAUCAAUAAAGCCUUACUAU
rnacentral:lncRNA from 10 species